GGACGAACGCUGGCGGCGUGCUUAACACAUGCAAGUGGAGCGACGAACCAGGGCUUGCCCUGGGGCAGAGCCGCGAACGGGUGAGUAACACGUGGGUAACGUGCCCCGAUGACUGGGACAACCCGGGGAAACCCGGGCUAAUACCGGAUGUGCCCCCUCACAUCAGUGAGGUGUGUAAAGGAAGCUUCGGCCUCCGCAUCGGGAUCGGCCCGCGGCCCAUUAGCUUGUUGGUGAGGUAACGGCUCACCAAGGCUGCGAUGGGUAGCUGGUCUGAGAGGACGAUCAGCCACACUGGGACUGAGACACGGCCCAGACUCCUACGGGAGGCAGCAGUGGGGAAUCUUGCGCAAUGCGCGAAAGCGUGACGCAGCAACGCCGCGUGGGGGAAGACGGCCUUCGGGUUGUAAACCCCUUUCAGUUGGGACGAAGGUCGGGCGGUUAACAGCCGUUCCGGCUGACGGUACCUUCACAAGAAGCCCCGGCUAACUACGUG
rnacentral:rRNA from 1 species